ACGAACGCUGGCGGCAUGCCUAACACAUGCAAGUCGAACGAGACCUUCGGGUCUAGUGGCGCACGGGUGCGUAACGCGUGGGAACCUGCCCUUAGGUUCGGAAUAACUCCCCGAAAGGGGUGCUAAUACCGGAUAAUAUCUUCGGACCAAAGAUUUAUCGCCUUUGGAUGGGCCCGCGUUGGAUUAGCUAGUUGGUAGGGUAAAAGCCUACCAAGGCGACGAUCCAUAGCUGGUCUGAGAGGAUGAUCAGCCACACUGGGACUGAGACACGGCCCAGACUCCUACGGGAGGCAGCAGUGGGGAAUAUUGGACAAUGGGCGAAAGCCUGAUCCAGCAAUGCCGCGUGAGUGAUGAAGGCCUUAGGGUUGUAAAGCUCUUUUACCCGGGAUGAUAAUGACAGUACCGGGAGAAUAAGCUCCGGCUAACUCCGUG
rnacentral:rRNA from 1 species